UAUAAUUAAACUAUUUCUGACAGUAGUACAGGGGUAUAUUUGACCUUUUACCGCCUUUUAUCUGGCGGCAAUGGCUUAACCAAUCCAUAAGAAAAUCCAAUGUCUCUUUCCCUAGCUAUGGUGGUUCUGCCACGUGUCGCCACCGUUCCCACGGCGGCGAAGGCGAAGCAGCCACGUCAGAGACCAAACCCUAAAACCCAAAUUGGUAAACCAAAUAUAACCACCAGUGGACCUACCGUAAAGAAAAUAACUUCAGGGUUUAACAGUAGAAAUAAAGAACCCACGUGGCAGUGUGUCAAGAAUUGUGGUGCAUGUUGUAAACUUGAAAAAGGGCCGAAUUUUCCUUCUCCUGAAGAGAUUUUCGAUGACCCUUCUGAUGUUGAGUUAUUCAACAGCUUGGUGGGUUCUGAUGGAUGGUGCAUACAUUUUGAUAAGAGCACAAGAAAAUGCUCCAUUUAUGCAGAUCGUCCAUAUUUUUGUCGGGUGGAACCGGACAUCUUUGAGACACUGUAUGGGAUUGAAAAGAAAAAGUUCAACAAGGAAGCUUGCAGUUGUUGCAUAGACACAAUUAAAGCGGUAUAUGGAUCAAGCUCAAAGGAGUUAGAGAAUUUCAAUGCUGCAAUAUGGAGUUCAACUUAGUUGUGCUUUUCUUUUUCUGAGAUUCCUAAUUUCGGGUAUGAUUCUUUGUCCUCUUCUUGGAUGUGAUUGCUAAAGGUAUCUUAUCAGGUGAACCUUUUUGGUGGUUUUCCCUGUCAAUCAGUUUCUUCCAGCCUGUUGCAGUGGCUAGGCAGACCGUUAAAUCAUCAUAGAUGUCAUUUUAUAUAAUGUUCUAUCGCAAUCAGUUUUAUGCAUGCAGAAUGAACUGGUGCACUACAAUUGAAACUGGAAUACUCAAAAUCUGACGGGGAAGCGCAAAUCUGUAACUCAUUGUAAAGUGAAACAAAUACGACUGUAGAUGUUAGUGAAUUAGCACUGGAUCAUCUUUUCAAAAGAACCAAGUACAAGGAUACAGUAGCUUCUAUGAGUAGACACCUAUGCUUUUCUAAUGUAAGAUUUCAUUGUAUGGCCAAUGUUUAUCAGAAUUUGUGGGAGGAGACAUGAUCAUGUUUCCUGUAUAUCAUAAGAUUAAGUUUUUUCAUCUUUUUGUAUGAACUUAGAAAUUAUUUUUUGCAUGAUUAACUCUAAACUUUCAUAAAAUUAGAGCUCAGCUUUUGUUACCUGGAA